CAACCAUCCAAUUCUUCCGAA
rnacentral:miRNA from 1 species